CUGGGACUGGGGCUGCGACGGCGGCGGCGGCGGCGCGCUGGGGCUGCUGUAGUCGGGGUAGCUGCCGCCGUAGCUCCGCAUCAUGGGGCUGGGUGAGGAGCCAUCUACAUGUUACUGUAAGACUUAAAAUUAGGUGGACUGUUCCUUGCAUCUUCUAUGACCCUAAUGUGACUCCUCAAACUGCACUUUUCUCCAAGGACCUUCUAUCUCUGGCUAGAUUAUCAAUUUCUCGAGGACAAAGCCUCUGUCUUCAAUCCCUCUGAUACCUUCCACCAUACUCAGAACAAUUUUGGACCCACAGUGGGCUCUGAACACUUAAUUGGCAAGAGAACUUUGUAGCUUUGAACGUAAACAUGUAGACUCUUGAUUAUUCUUGUUAGCUCAAGGACCAUCGCGUGAGCGUGAGAUUCACAGCUGUGGAGAGCAUUGCAGAGUUGCUUUGCGGGCACAUCACAGUAAAUCUUAGCCUGUGCUAUUCUAGCAUGGCACUUGUUUAUAAACAACACGAUUAUUAGUGCUGAUUCUACGCAAUUGGUUUCCCGUUGACCCCAACAGAAACAAUGCAAAAUAUUUACCCUUUCCUAAAGCGUAGUAAAACUCCUGUGGUUUUUGAAACCAGACCAAGAACACAUGUAGAAAAGCUCGUGGAUUAUUUUAAGUGAACUUAUUUUUUUUAAUCUCAUUAACUUUUCACCAUAUGCUGUUUAUUUUUAUAUCCUGCAUAGGCUGAAAGUGAAAAUAGACCAGGCCGCUGUGUUUCAUUUCAGGCACAUCAUUACCAGGAUGACACACGUGCACACACAACUCUGGGGAGUUCAUGGGAAACAAAGAUGAUAACGGGGCCUUUUAAAGAUGAGAAAAGAUUUUUAAAGUUCUGCAUGUUCCUUAACCAAGCAACCCAGGAGGCAAGCAGGAAAACUGCUUCCCACCACAUGGAGAAUGUGUUCCCAGUGGGGCUUCACAGUCUGUAGAAAGGAGGUGGAUUCACACCCCAGCUACACGUCUGCAGGCUGUGCAAGUUUUGGCAAUUUCCUUUACCUUGCCAUAUACCAGGAUAUAUGUGAAACACUAAAUAUCUAGUUUUUGACUAUGAAGGGUUAUGAAUUAAAUGAGAGAGCUUAUAUACACCACUUGACAUGUUGCCUAGAAUUAGUAGAGGAGGAGGUUUUGCAUGUGAGUGUAUUUUGAUUUCUAAAUAGAAUAGAUGUCUGUCGUGUGAUUUCGGGAAAACCAGGUAUAUGCCAUUCGACCCCCCACAUCUCUCUUGCUAUGUCAUUAAAAUUUCUCCAUUAAAGAUUUUUGGAUUUAUUCCUUUCUCCAAAGGCUUUGAGCCCUGUCAAAAUACAAAUUUGCUUCUACUGAGUAAUACCUUAAGCUUUUAUCAGUUAUUUACACUUUCUUAUGAACGUAUUUUGAAUCUAUUCCCCAAAGCCUGAUGUGAUACAGAAGAAGAGGCGAAGAGAAGGAGGAUGUGGGUGCCGGAGAGAAAGUGCAGAGUGGCCAGAGUGAAUGGGGACUGUGAUACGGGGGAGAAAUCUUAUUUAUUCACAAUAUUCCCCAGGACCACCCCUGCAUCUCAAUGAGCGGAAAGUAUGAAAUAGAAAACAUACCUAAAUAUUGAAAAAAC